ACCACGAAAUAACAGAGUGAAGAGAGAGGCUGAGAACAGAAUUUUCUUCUUGGAGCAGUUCUGGUGUUGCCGCUUGAUUGAGGGUCAAACGUGCUCUGAUUGUAGCCAAAUUUUGACACUUUGUUCCUGUCAUCCCAAGCUACAUAUCCAACGGUUGGAUUGUCAUUUCGAGCUUCCAAAGUCGUCGCACGUCCACGGGAGGCGGAAACAUCAACACCCGCGCCUACUAAUCCAAACCAAGUACCGAGCCGGUCAGCACAAUUAGACCAAAGAGAGCAUCAAAUUCCUACAACAAGAAACAACUCAGAUACAGAUGUAACCGAGAACAAUCCUAAUUUUCAGAAGAAAUAGAUGUAGGAGCGAAGAUGAAGAAUGAAGUGGAGCUUUCAUGUUCAACACAUUGGAUGAAGAAAUUGCAUCCACAUGUGCAGUUAACAAGUUCAAUUUCCACAUGAACUAAACCUGUUGUUGAAGAUAUUUUUACGUGGUCCCUAUUGUUAUUCCUUUGAAAUUGUACAAAAUUAAUGAAGUCAUUUUAUCUGCUCAAAAAGAAAGACUAAAUUUCGGACCAGGAUAUCAACGUGACCUCAAGGCCAAUUCCCGGAUGCUAGAUGCCAAAUGUGAUAUCCAAUAUUUUUGUGUGUAUAAAUAUAUGUUUGGAAAUUGAUUUGUAAAGUAUUUGUAUAAAUAUAUGUUUGUCAGUAUGAAUAUAUGUUUGUCAGUAUGAAACCUGUGGGAUUGCUGUUGGAAUUGGUUAUGUAAAGUCCACAAUUCUGGGACAUGCUGUAUAUA